UUCCGCAAACCGACACAGGUAGAUAGGAAGAAAAUUCUAAGGCCAACGGGAGAAGGGUAGUUAAGGAACUCGGCAAGUUGACCCCGUAACUUAGGGAUAAGGGGUGCUCUCGAAAGAGAGCCGCAGAGAAUAGGCCCAGGCGACUGUUUAGCAAAAACACAGCUCUAUGCUAAAUCGAAAGAUGAUGUAUAUGGGGUGACACCUGCCCGGUGCCGGAAGGUUAAGAGGAGGAGUGAGAGCCCUGAAUUGAAGCCCCGGUAAACGGCGGCCGUAACGAUAACGGUCCUAAGGUAGCGAAAUUCCUUGUCAGGUAAGUUCUGACCCGCACGAAUGGUGUAACGAUCUGGGCACUGUCUCAACUACCCGCCCGGCGAAAUUGUAGUACCGGUGAAGAUGCCGGUUACCCGCGGCUAGACGGAAAGACCCCAUGGAGCUUUACUGUAGCUUAAUGUUGAAUUUCGGUAUUUCAUGUACAGGAUAGGUGGGAGACUAAGAAGCAGGGGCGUCAGCUUCUGUGGAGUCAACCUUGGGAUACCACUCUUGAAGUGCUGGAAUUCUAACCUGCGGCCGUGAAUCCGGUCGGGGGACAUCGUUAGGUGGGCAGUUUGACUGGGGCGGUCGCCUCCCAAAGAGUAACGGAGGCGCUCAAAGGUUCGCUCAGCAUGGACGGAAACCAUGCUCUUGAGUGUAAACGCAAAAGCGAGCCUAACUGCGAGACUGACGGGUCGAGCAGUAACGAAAGUUGGAGUUAGUGAUCCGGCGGUAUGUGAGUGGAAAUGCCGUCGCUCAACGGAUAAAAGCUACCCUGGGGAUAACAGGCUGAUCUCCCCCAAGAGUCCACAUCGACGGGGAGGUUUGGCACCUCGAUGUCGGCUCAUCGCAUCCUGGGGCUGUAUUCGGUCCCAAGGGUUUGGCUGUUCGCCAAUUAAAGCGGUACGCGAGCUGGGUUCAGAACGUCGUGAGACAGUUCGGUCCCUAUCUGUCGUGGGCGUAGGAUAUUUGAAAGGAGCUGUCCCUAGUACGAGAGGACCGGGAUGGACGCACCUCUGGUGCACCAGUUGUCACGCCAGUGGCACAGCUGGGCAGCUAAGUGCGGAUCGGAUAAACGCUGAAGGCAUCUAAGCGUGAAGCCGUCCUUAAGAUAAGAUAUCCCAUCAGGUCAACUGAGUAAGACCCCUCAAAGACUAUGAGGUUGAUAGGCCUAAGGUGUACGCAUGGUGACAUGUUCAGCCUGCAGGUACUAAUCGGUCGAGGGCUUGACCU
rnacentral:rRNA from 1 species